AGACUUUCUGGAAAACAAGUUCAGCCUUUCUAUCUCCACAUGGCAUGUGAGAAUGAAAACUGGCACGUUUGGAGCAAAGGCCUCCUUGCAGUCACUGACAGAGGUUUUGGAAUCAGCUCUGCAGGACAUCCCAGCACCAGCGCAGCCCAACUGGAAGUACCAGCUAGCUGAAAAUCUCCAUUCAGAAGCACUCAGCCAUGGCCUAGUGAGGAACUGGAAAGAUUGCAGGCCUCGUCUGAGAUGUGCAGAAAGCUCACACCAGUUUAAAGAUACAUGAAUUGUGCUGUCAUAACCGUACGAUGCCAAAAAGACCUGCUGCUAUUUGAGUGACUGACCGCUCAUCUGAUGGGUCUCAGUUCUGAAGUCCAAAAUGAGAUUCCUCUGCUUAAGGAUGGGCUGUACAGAGAUGCACUUGGAGUCCUGCGACUGCUGCUGAAAUCAGUGGGAACCGACUUCAAGCACCACUGAAACACACUCCUGGCUCUCCCAGAAUCCUUUUUUUAAUUGAAGACGCUUGGAUGUUACAAGGUGCUUCUAACAAGAAGGAUGCAGUGUGCGUCGUACACCGAAGUCAUACUGCAACAGGAGCAGAAGCGGCUGUGUUUGCAUUGCCCGCUCACAGGUAUGUAAUAUCAGAUUGUGCUGUUAAUUCUCUUUGUUUCCUGGAAAUAUCCGUGUCAGGCUUCUAUCCCUUGCACACACAGGAGGUCCACAUUCAUAACAGUCAGCUUCAAAUGCAGAGAAGUUCUGCGCACGUUGCUGUUAAUUCUGAAGCAUUGGCAGUGCCACUUUUGUAA
rnacentral:lncRNA from 1 species